rnacentral:rRNA from 1 species
GGUGAACGCUGGCGGCGUGCCUAAUACAUGCAAGUCGAGCGAACGGACGAGAAGCUUGCUUCUCUGAUGUUAGCGGCGGACGGGUGAGUAACACGUGGAUAACCUACCUAUAAGACUGGGAUAACUUCGGGAAACCGGAGCUAAUACCGGAUAAUAUUUUGAACCGCAUGGUUCAAAAGUGAAAGACGGUCUUGCUGUCACUUAUAGAUGGAUCCGCGCUGCAUUAGCUAGUUGGUAAGGUAACGGCUUACCAAGGCAACGAUGCAUAGCCGACCUGAGAGGGUGAUCGGCCACACUGGAACUGAGCAACGGUCCAGACUCCUACGGGAGGCAGCAGUAGGGAAUCUUCCGCAAUGGGCGAAAGCCUGACGGAGCAACGCCGCGUGAGUGAUGAAGGUCUUCGGAUCGUAAAACUCUGUUAUUAGGGAAGAACAUAUGUGUAAGUAACUGUGCACAUCUUGACGGUACCUAAUCAGAAAGCCACGGCUAACUACGUG